rnacentral:snoRNA from 1 species
UCCCUCCAGAUUUCAUACCCCUCAUGCCUAAAUAGUGUUUUGAGUGGCUUAAAAAAAAAAGAGGAAAAGUAAAAUUGAAAUGGACUUGCAGUGCUUAGUGACAAACAAGCUCAUCUCAAACAAAC